UACGUAGGGUGCAAGCGUUGUCCGGAAUUAUUGGGCGUAAAGAGCUCGUAGGCGGUCUGUUGCGUCGGCUGUGAAAACCCGGGGCUCAACCCCGGGCCUGCAGCCGAUACGGGCAGACUAGAGUUCGGCAGGGGAGACUGGAAUUCCUGGUGUAGCGGUGAAAUGCGCAGAUAUCAGGAGGAACACCGGUGGCGAAGGCGGGACUCUGGGCCGAUACUGACGCUGGAGGAAGCGAAAGGCGUGGGGAGCGAACAGG
rnacentral:rRNA from 1 species